CACGGGGGGAGCAAGCGUUGUUCGGAAUCACUGGGCGUAAAGGGCGUGUAGGCGGUCAAGUAAGUGGAAUGUGAAAGCCCCCGGCUCAACCGGGGAAUUGCAUCGGAUACAGCCUGGCUUGAGGACGGUUGGGGUGAGUGGAACUCCUGGUGGAGCGGUGAAAUGCGUAGAUAUCAGGAGGAACACCGGUGGCGAAGGCGGGUCUCUGGGCCGUAACUGACGCUGAGGGGCGAAAGCGUGGGGAGCGAACAGG
rnacentral:rRNA from 1 species